GUAGAUGCUAUUUUCUGAGAUUAAGCCAUGCAAUGUUUAUUAAUAAGGACAAAUAGCUCAGUAAAACUAGGCGAUCUAACCUCGGCAUCGGAUAACCUUGGGAAACUAAGGCUAAAGGCUGAGGGUGACGCCUAGCACUAUCAGCUAGUAGGUAGUGUAACGGACUACCUAGGCGGUGACGGUUAACGGGAUACGAGAGUGUGAUACCGGAGAGGGAGCCUGAGAAAUGGCUCCCACAUCCAAGGAUGGCAGCAGGCGCGAAAAUUGUCCACUCUUUAUAGGAGACAGUUAUGAAAAGUAAAAACGGUGGGUCUUGUAAAGAAAGAUUCUAAAAUUGGAGGGCAAGUUUGGUGCCAGCAGCCGCGGUAAUACCAACUCCAAGAGUGUGUAUGAGAGUUGUUGCAGUUAAAAGGUCCGUAGUCGUUCAUGGAAAUAAGGCUUCGGCCUGUGCUCAAUGUGGAGGGGCUGAUGGGGACCAUAGUAUACAGUGGCGAGAGAUGAAAUGUCUAAACCCUCUGUGGACUCAGCGAGGCGAAAGCGGUGGUCUAGUAAGUACUCGGUGAUCAAGGACGAAGGGUAGAGGAGCGAAAGUGAUUAGAUACCGCUGUAGUUUUACCAGUAAAAGAUGCCGACUAUCCUGGCGUGCGCGGACGAAAGCGAUGCGCAGGCUGGGAAUAGAGAAAUCGAUAAGUGUUCGGGCUCUGGGGAUAGUAUGCUCGCAAGAGUGAAAAUUAAAGAAAUUGACGGAGCUACACCACAAGGAGUGGAUUGUGCGGCUUAAUUUGACUCAACGCGAGGAAACUUACCAGGCCCUUUUGCACCUAAGAUACGAGGUGCGAAGGAGUGGUGCAUGGUCGUUGGAAAUUCAUGGGAUGACUUUGAGCUUAAAUGCUUGAAUGAGUGAGACUCCGUAGACUGGCUGCGUUAAGCAGCAGGAGGGUGGAGCUAUAACAGAUCAGUGAUGCCCUUAGAUGGCCUGGGCUGCACGCGCAAUACAGUGGGACGUAGGUAUAGAGACGUACAGGUCCCCAGAUGGAUUGCCGAUUGUAAGUUCGGCAUGAAAGCGGAAUUCCUAGUAAGCACGUAUUAUCAAUGGGUGCUGAAUGCGUCCCUGUAGCUUGUACACACCGUCCGUCAGUAUCUCAGAUGUUUUUUAGGAUGAAGAGUUUCGAUUCUGAAUAAUGAAAAGUAGAUAAGAUGUAAGUCGUAGCAAGGUUUCGGUGGGAGAACCAGCCGAAGGAUCAUUACGAGACAACUUAGCUCGUGUACGGGAUGUAUAGGCUCCGACCGUGAGGAACGACGUAGAGGAUACGAUAGGCGGCCCGCACGGGCCGCGCUCGGAAUGGGUGGGAAGCCACGAGGAACGCCCUGAACUUAAGCAUAUCAAUAAGGGCAGGAAGAGAAACAAACUUGGAUUUCCCCAGUAGUGGCGAACGAACAGGAAGAAGCUCCUAUUGCAGUGCCAGCUGCGGCGACGGCUGGAAAACCCUAUGGAAAGAGGGGCCAGAGGUGGUGAUAGCCCACGGCAGCGCGAGGGGUAGAUUAGUAUUGCUUGGUAGUGCAGUAUGAACGGGUGGUAUCAGCACCCAAGGCUAAAUAUGGGUCGGAGACCGAUAGCGAAGAAGUACUGCGAAGGAAAUAUGAAAACAACUGCUAGUGGUGAAAACAGAAAGUACACGAGAAAAGCCUAGACGCUAGGAC
rnacentral:rRNA from 1 species